rnacentral:lncRNA from 1 species
AGAAGGAGUGUGACACAGGCCAGUGGAGCGAGUGGAGCCAGCCUGUGUGCUUCCAGGCUCCCCAGAGACAAGGAACAGUAAGAGGACCUUGUGCAUGAAUAAUUUGUUUCCACACUACAGAGUGGCAGAAGAAUCCCAGACUUCUUAGAGAACCCAGUGACUUUUUGCACCUUAAAUCUGUGAAAUCCUCAUGUUUUCUUCUGCCGUAUCCAUAGUUCAAACAAAGAUGAGGCAAAGCUAGAUGCAUUCCUGAAGGAACCCAAGAAAUUCCUCUCUUUAUUUCUCUGGAAUGAAAUGAAUUCUCUAGACCACCAGUUCUAACCUUCAAAAACCAAACCUGUUUGUGAGAUCUCCUUCAAAUACUACUGUAGACCCCAGUGUUUAUUCAUUAAAUUUUUAAAAUAUUUGUUUU